GGGUUGUGAGGUUAAGCGACUAAGCGUACACGGUGGAUGCCCUGGCAGUCAGAGGCGAUGAAGGACGUGCUAAUCUGCGAAAAGCGUCGGUAAGGUGAUAUGAACCGUUAUAACCGGCGAUGUCCGAAUGGGGAAACCCAGUGCAAUUCGUUGCACUAUCGUUAACUGAAUACAUAGGUUAACGAGGCGAACCGGGGGAACUGAAACAUCUAAGUACCCCGAGGAAAAGAAAUCAACCGAGAUUCCCCCAGUAGCGGCGAGCGAACGGGGAGCAGCCCAGAGUCUGAAUCAGCUUGUGUGUUAGUGGAACGGUCUGGAAAGUCCGACGGUACAGGGUGAUAGUCCCGUACACCAAAAUGCACAGGUUGUGAACUCGAAGAGUAGGGCGGGACACGUGGUAUCCUGUCUGAAUAUGGGGGGACCAUCCUCCAAGGCUAAAUACUCCUGACUGACCGAUAGUGAACCAGUACCGUGAGGGAAAGGCGAAAAGAACCCCGGCGAGGGGAGUGAAAAAGAACCUGAAACCGUGUACGUACAAGCAGUGGGAGCACCUUCGGGUGUGACUGCGUACCUUUUGUAUAAUGGGUCAGCGACUUAUAUUCUGUAGCAAGGUUAACCGUAUAGGGGAGCCGCAGGGAAACCGAGUCUUAACUGGGCGUUAAGUUGCAGGGUAUAGACCCGAAACCCGGUGAUCUAGCCAUGGGCAGGUUGAAGGUUGGGUAACACUAACUGGAGGACCGAACCGACUAAUGUUGAAAAAUUAGCGGAUGACUUGUGGCUGGGGGUGAAAGGCCAAUCAAACCGGGAGAUAGCUGGUUCUCCCCGAAAGCUAUUUAGGUAGCGCCUCGUGAAUUCAUCUUCGGGGGUAGAGCACUGUUUCGGCUAGGGGGUCAUCCCGACUUACCAACCCGAUGCAAACUACGAAUACCGAAGAAUGUUAUCACGGGAGACACACGGCGGGUGCUAACGUCCGUCGUGAAGAGGGAAACAACCCAGACCGCCAGCUAAGGUCCCAAAGUCAUGGUUAAGUGGGAAACGAUGUGGGAAGGCACAGACAGCCAGGAUGUUGGCUUAGAAGCAGCCAUCAUUUAAAGAAAGCGUAAUAGCUCACUGGUCGAGUCGGCCUGCGCGGAAGAUGUAACGGGGCUAAACCAUGCACCGAAGCUGCGGCAGCGACACUAUGUGUUGUUGGGUAGGGGAGCGUUCUGUAAGCCUGCGAAGGUGACCUGUGAGGGUUGCUGGAGGUAUCAGAAGUGCGAAUGCUGACAUAAGUAACGAUAAAGCGGGUGAAAAGCCCGCUCGCCGGAAGACCAAGGGUUCCUGUCCAACGUUAAUCGGGGCAGGGUGAGUCGACCCCUAAGGCGAGGCCGAAAGGCGUAGUCGAUGGGAAACAGGUUAAUAUUCCUGUACUUGGUGUUACUGCGAAGGGGGGACGGAGAAGGCUAUGUUAGCCGGGCGACGGUUGUCCCGGUUUAAGCAUGUAGGCUGAUUGUCCAGGCAAAUCCGGAUAAUCAAGGCUGAGGUGUGAUGACGAGGCACUACGGUGCUGAAGUAACAAAUGCCCUGCUUCCAGGAAAAGCCUCUAAGCAUCAGGUAACAUUAAAUCGUACCCCAAACCGACACAGGUGGUCAGGUAGAGAAUACCAAGGCGCUUGAGAGAACUCGGGUGAAGGAACUAGGCAAAAUGGUGCCGUAACUUCGGGAGAAGGCACGCUGGUGUGUAGGUGAAGUCCCUGCGGAUGGAGCUGAGACCAGUCGAAGAUACCAGCUGGCUGCAACUGUUUAUUAAAAACACAGCACUGUGCAAACACGAAAGUGGACGUAUACGGUGUGACGCCUGCCCGGUGCCGGAAGGUUAAUUGAUGGGGUUAUCCGUAAGGAGAAGCUCUUGAUCGAAGCCCCGGUAAACGGCGGCCGUAACUAUAACGGUCCUAAGGUAGCGAAAUUCCUUGUCGGGUAAGUUCCGACCUGCACGAAUGGCGUAAUGAUGGCCAGGCUGUCUCCACCCGAGACUCAGUGAAAUUGAACUCGCUGUGAAGAUGCAGUGUACCCGCGGCAAGACGGAAAGACCCCGUGAACCUUUACUAUAGCUUGACACUGAACAUUGAGCCUUGAUGUGUAGGAUAGGUGGGAGGCUUUGAAGCGUGGACGCCAGUCUGCGUGGAGCCAACCUUGAAAUACCACCCUUUAAUGUUUGAUGUUCUAACGUUGGCCCCUUACCGGGGUUGCGGACAGUGUCUGGUGGGUAGUUUGACUGGGGCGGUCUCCUCCCAAAGCGUAACGGAGGAGCACGAAGGUUAGCUAAUCCUGGUCGGACAUCAGGAGGUUAGUGCAAUGGCAUAAGCUAGCUUGACUGCGAGCGUGACGGCGCGAGCAGGUGCGAAAGCAGGUCAUAGUGAUCCGGUGGUUCUGAAUGGAAGGGCCAUCGCUCAACGGAUAAAAGGUACUCCGGGGAUAACAGGCUGAUACCGCCCAAGAGUUCAUAUCGACGGCGGUGUUUGGCACCUCGAUGUCGGCUCAUCACAUCCUGGGGCUGAAGUAGGUCCCAAGGGUAUGGCUGUUCGCCAUUUAAAGUGGUACGCGAGCUGGGUUUAGAACGUCGUGAGACAGUUCGGUCCCUAUCUGCCGUGGGCGCUGGAGAAUUGAGGGGGGCUGCUCCUAGUACGAGAGGACCGGAGUGGACGCAUCACUGGUGUUCGGGUUGUCAUGCCAAUGGCACUGCCCGGUAGCUAAAUGCGGAAGAGAUAAGUGCUGAAAGCAUCUAAGCACGAAACUUGCCCCGAGAUGAGUUCUCCCUGAGACUUUAAGUCUCCUGAAGGAACGUUAAAGACGAUGACGUUGAUAGGCCGGGUGUGUAAGCGCAGCGAUGCGUUGAGCUAACCGGUACUAAUGAACCGUGAGGCUUAACCUUACAACGCCGAAG
rnacentral:rRNA from 1 species